ACGAGCUAGGGUCUUCCAGGCCCGACCUCCUAACCCUGUGUUUACUGUACCUAUGUUGCUUCGGCGGGCCCGUCUUAUGACCGCCGGAGGACCGUAAAAUGUCCUCUGGCCCGUGCCCGCCGGCGGCCAACUUUAACAAAUUCUGAUUAAAUCGUGUCAAAUGUCUGAGUAUGAAUUAAUUAAAAUA
rnacentral:misc_RNA from 1 species